AAAUGCGAUAAGUAAUGUGAAUUGCAGAAUUCAGUGAAUCAGCGAAUCUUUGGACGAACCUUCCGCUCCUUGGUAUUCCGAGGAGCAUGCCUGUUUGAGAGUCAUUAAAUUCUCAACCUCACCAAUUUUUGUAAUGAAAGAUGUGUGCAGGCUUGGACGUGGGGGUUUGCAGGUCCGCCUCCUGGUGGUCUGCUCCUCUGAAAUGCAUUAGUGGGUUGUGCCCCUAAUCUAUUGGUGUGAUAAUUAUCUACGCGGUGGAUCAUGUUGGCUACUAUAGACCUGCUUCUAACCGUCCGUCUCGGACAACUUUGACAUUUUUGACCUCAAAUCAGGUAAGACUACCCGCUGAACUUAA
rnacentral:misc_RNA from 1 species